UAUAUAACCCGUUAAUGUCGCCGGGUAGAUCUUAUACUCAUUCCUUUCUAUUGAAGCCACCAAAUCUGAGGAUCGAAGCAAUUAUCGAAGCUCUUCAAGAAAAGAAAGUGGUGAUUCUACUAGAUGGCAUAUCCUGUUACUACAACCCGUAGCUACACAUGUUCCUUUUUUUACAGCUACAUAUGUAACGACCCUUUGUUAUAUAUGUUAAUGACCAGCUUGUUGGAAUAUGUUAAUGGAGUUUAUGCAAGAGAUGAGUCAGCAAAGGUAGCAGAUAAACAGCAAAGACAGACCGUCAAUGGAAGCUCCACCCCUUCUUAGUGAUCUGUGUUUUCGUUUACUAGUAAUAUGUAAUGUGAGACUCUUAUUAUUUUGUCUAUGACGUGUUGUUAAAAAUGUUUUGGCCUUCCGAACUUCUGCCCUGAAGUCGACCUCAACAUAUUUGUGUUGCUUUUGGGCUAUAUGCAUCCAAUUUUGUGUAACUUGCUUGUAGGCAAUGUAGCUUUUUACAUGUUUACCAGUACAUUAAUCUCUAACACAUGUUAUGUGUAACGUGCUGAAAGUCUUAACACACGUUAUAAUAGAGCCUUGACACACGUUAUAUCAGUUAUACCGUUAUGGGUAUAGUAAACGGCCCACCAUUUUUCUUAGUGCUAUGUAUUUUCGUUUACUAGUAA